rnacentral:tRNA from 1 species
GGUCGACGAGCGGCACGCCCUUGGCCGCGGCGAGUUCGCGCAUCGCGGCCGGGUAGGCGCCGUGCGACGCGGUGGCCACCCC